rnacentral:lncRNA from 8 species
GUGGCAGAAGACAUGGGACUCUGAGCACACGGGAUGGCAUUUAUAUGCCCUCCAAAAAAAGGUUGGUGGACCAAGAUUCAAAGGUCAGUUAGUAGGGCUCUUUUUAGUUCCUCAGAAGCAUUGAGUUAGGUGGGAGGAUUUAGAAAUGUGGAGCUUAUGUUGUAAACAGUGAUGACCUCACACUCCAGCACAGUAGGUGGCGUCAUACACCUUUUAACAUUUGGUUGCAGACUGCCAUUAUAUCAUAGAAGAAGAAGAAGAAGAAGAAGAAGAAGAAGAAUCAUCAUCAUCAUCAUCGUCAUCAGAGGAACGUGAAGGAACCUCCCUCCAACCGUGCUUGCACCAAUCCAAUGCUUCCUACAGUGCCCGAGGGGGACUGAACAAGUGCACACUUCGGGAGAGAUGAAACGGUGGGAGCUCAUUGGAAAUAUUUAUUUGUAUAAAGUGACAGUUAUAGAUAGCCGCUGUAGAUUUUUCUAUAGAGAAAACUGGGACCACUUGAUUCUCAGGAGCAUCAGUAAAAAUGAUACAAAAACGUGAACACUUGCUACUUGCUUUAGUAAUGGCUGGGGGAAUGGUUCUCUGCUGGCUUGCGCAUCGUGAGAAGACAUCUGUCUCUCUCAAUGAGGGUGUCAGUGAGGGUCCCAGUGAGUAUGUGGAGGGGUUAACAUGGCACCAGGUGCAUCACCAGGCUGUGCUGAAUAACAGAUUACAGAGUAAGCAAGCCAAGCUUAUGGAACCAGUGUAAGUGGCAGCACAUGCAGACAGCAUUACAAUAGAGCUGUAUUCUAUUGUUUGAAUUCUAGAUUAUAUUAUAAACCGAGUGGUUCGAGCCCUGAAUGCUAAUUGGCUGAAAGCCACUGGUAUAACAAUUGAAUUGAAUUUUUACUGUUCUAAAUACGUUGGUAAUCAGUUUAUAAAAGCAAUAAGGCUCCUCGUGGUUUGUGAUGUAUGGUAAAUAUACCACGACUAAGGGCUGUUUCCAGGCACUACGCGUUGCAUCGCGCUAAAGAACAGCCCUUAGCCGUGGUAUAUUGGCCAUAUACCACACCCCCUAGUGCCUUAUUGCUUAAUUACUGUAUACCAUUAUGGUAAAUACUAUGUAGUACAUACUUGCUUUAUAACGUACUUCAUAAUGUCUUUUCAUGAAGUUCUACCACUAUUGGAUGUUUAUCUUGAUGAUUAUGUUAAGUGACUUUGGGUGUUUCAAAUCAAAUUUUAUUGGUCACAUACUGUGUUUAGCAGAUGUUAUUGCGGGUGUAGGGAAAUGCUUGUGCUUCUAGUUCCGACAGUGCAGCAAUAUUUAACAAGUAUUAUCUAACAAUUUCACAACAUAUACGCAAUACACACAAAUCUAAGUAAAGGAAUUAAGAAUACAUAAACAUAUGGACGAGCAAUGUCAGAGCAGCAUAGAUACAGUAGAAUAGUAUAGAAUACAGUAUAUACAUAUGAGAUGAGUAAUGCAAGAUAUGUAAACAUUAUUAAAGUGACAUUAUUAAAGUGACUAGGGUUCCAUUUAUUAAAGUGGCCAAUGAUUUAUUCUAAUUAAAAACAAAUUCUGAAGGCAAACACCAUGCUCUACCAACUGAGCCACACGGGACCAUCCUGGUCUUAUCCAUUUACAUGGAUAAGACCAGGAUUACUCAACUAUGGACUGGAAUACUCCACUCUGCCUCUAAGAUGUCUACUUAGACACCGUCUUCUGCUUAAACAGAAUUAUCUCUGUUUUAUUACAUUUGUUGUCAUUUAGCAGACACUCUUAUCCAGAG